rnacentral:lncRNA from 1 species
AACGUGAGUGGUGGAACAUCCUGUUGCUGAAGAGCCCUUGCCAUGCUGAAGCAAGCAGUUUUAUAGCCUGCAGCUGCACCCUAAGUGGGAGUGUGACAGAGAGCCUCCUGCCUUGUCAGGCUCCAGGAGGCAAUAACGAACUGUCUCCUGACAGCCUUUUAAGAAGAUACGGAGGCAAGUUAGAGAUGGCCUUGUAAAUUUAAAAAUUGUUGAUCAAGAGAUUUAUUUUAAUGCUGAAGAAUGGAAAAGCAAGUUAUGCCAUGAAAGAUGGCAUUUUGUGUGGCAACAAAUAAAAUUUAAAGAGCAAUUUUUAGAUUUGUUAACUUUAUGCCAGUAUGUGUUCAGUAUAUCAGCUCAUAAUGUUAGUACUGAGAGUGGCUUCUCAUUAAUGAAUAUUCAAUGAACAAAAGAACAAUAUAAGUUGGAUGUGACCACUGUUGAAGCUACAUUACAAUGUAAUGGGAACACAGACUAUAAUUGCAAGAAAUUUUGUUAGCAAAUUCUGCAAAACAAGCAGCUGCUGGGGACAGCCAAAUCAUCAAGGAAAUGCAAUUUUUAAGAGGCAUGUCAUUUAGAUUUUUAUCAGCUAUUUCAGAUAAACAUCAGGUAAUUUUUAGUACAAUAUACCAUUUCUAAUACUUUUUAAAAUUUCAAUCUGCAAUGCAUAAGCAAUUCAAAAUAAUUCAAAUCUACCUGAGUGUCUCAUAUUUUUAUUUGUGUAAUCAGACAAACCUAGCUAGGGGUCAAGUGAAAGAUGAUCCAGGACCUUCCAAAGCUAACUAAUUUACUUAGGAGCCAAUCUUUCACACAAGCAGACCAUGAACUAAAGAGGAAAAUAUCCAUGGUAAAUAUAGGUUCCUCAGGUAAAUCCUAGAAUCCUAGAGAUUGCCUACAGCCAAGAGAAGAAAUCCCAUCAUUAAUUCAGCCCUGUGUCAAUAGUCUAACAGCUGGAAAGAUGCACAGAAAGACAGUCAAUCCAUUUGUUGUACAAAUUUCUCAAUACUUU